CGUUUCGACAACGUUAACUAUAAAUUCACAAAAUUGAAAAAAAAAAAUUCUUUUCAUUUUGGCAGUUUCUCUAAGAUUAGUACGUUCGCUCGAGAACUCAAACUUGUCUUUCUUGGUGUUUGUAUCAACUGGUUUCACGGUUCAUUUGAUGAAGAUGCACUUUGCAAAUAUUGGAAACACUACUUUUAUGAAGUGGACACCAGAUUUUACAUCAACCAUCUUCACUUUUUCUAUCAUUUUCAUUUUUGCCGAUAUGCGAAGAUAGUGGUCUUGGCUCAAAAUUCUAUGUUAAAUAUAUAAUACCGAAGGUAUUAUUAUACACAUUAGAGGUGUUCUUCGUGUGAACUUUUUCUAGUUAGUUCCUCAAUACCAAAUGUACUUGGAAAAGGGAUCAGUUUGGUGAUUGACCAAUUUGGUGCUUCUUGUUUAGCCAUUGCAGAAAAUUUAUUUAGUAAGAGGAUCCAAAAAAGAAAUUAAAUGAAAACUUAAUUAAGAGCCGUAAUAGUCACAAUAUAAACCUAUAUAUUUUACUAAAUCAAUAGAUUGAAAAAACCAUGAGUUGAACAAUAGAUACAUUAAAGAAAUAUUUACAAAAUUAUACAAUUAAA